rnacentral:misc_RNA from 1 species
CAUGUGUCAUCAGAGGUUCUACUUGUUACUUUGUCACAUUCUUUUGAUAGGAAUCAUGUACUAAUUAAACUAGAAAUUCUUUAAUUAUGUAUAUGUGAAAAGAGUGGCUACUGGUAAUUUCUUAGAUGUUUGUUAGGUGAUGUAUUGAACAGCUUUAGAUUUCUGCAAAUGAAAUGUAUCAAUUAGUUUUGUCCAUCAUAGGCAGUUGCAUGCAUAACAUGUGUCAGCCCACUUACAGUUCAAACAGUAAUUGAACUAGUUAAAAUCAUUUUAUCGCAAUGCUGCACUUCAACUAAUUUUAUCCUAGAAGCAUUACAAA